rnacentral:lncRNA from 10 species
UCAAUACAGAUUGAAUUAUUGGGGAUUCAGACAGCAGAGGAAAAAAGUCAAAGCAUAUAAGGUGAGUAAGAAUUGUCACUUCCUGACAGGACCAGGAACAUCAGGAUAUUUGGAGAAUCUUAACAAAAGGAGAAUUCAUCCAAAUCUCUAGGUAUUGCAGGCAAAGUAUGAUAGCAAGAUCCUGGUUUGGUUUCCUAGCAUCUGGACGCUUUUAAAAGUCUAAUUUGAGAUUCCUUAUGAAAAUGUCCAGG